rfam:Oryza sativa Japonica Group DNA, chromosome 1, cultivar: Nipponbare, complete sequence.
UUUAAAUACAAUCAUGUGUUUCCGUGUCCAACUUUAGUCUAUCUUAUUUAAAACUUUUUUAUAUGAUUGAUAUUUUUAUUGAUACUAGAUGAUAAAACAUGAAUAUUAUUUUAUGUGACUUAUGUUUUUUAUUUUUUUUAAAAAAUAAAUAAGAUAAACUAUUAAAGUUGAACAUGAAAAUUUAUGGUUACGUUUAAA